AAAAUGAAAUUUGCUUAUUGCACCACAUGUGUUUUUUAUUGAACAAAUUUCUUUGGUGGCGGGAGCAAUCCUACCGCCAGAGGUUAUAACUAAACCAAACUUUUUAUUUACAGUCAAACUUGAUUUAUUAUUACAAUAGUCAAAACUUUCAACAACGGAUCUCUUGGUUCUCGCAUCGAUGAAGAACGCAGCGAAAUGCGAUACGUAAUAUGAAUUGCAGAUAUUCGUGAAUCAUCGAAUCUUUGAACGCACAUUGCGCCCUUUGGUAUUCCAAAGGGCAUGCCUGUUUGAGCGUCAUUUCUCCCUCAAACCCCCGGGUUUGGUGUUGAGCAAUACGCUAGGUUUGUUUGAAAGAAUUUAACGUGGAAACUUAUUUUAAGCGACUUAGGUUUAUCCAAAACGCUUAUUUUGCUAGUGGCCACCACAAUUUAUUUCAUAACUUUGACCUCAAAUCAGGUAGGACUACCCGCUGAACUUAAGCAUAUCAAUAAGCGGGAGGAA
rnacentral:rRNA from 1 species